AGAUGAGCUGACAGACCCUGGCUGAGCAGGAAGUGGCAGGGUCAGGAAAAGCUAGGCCACAAGUUUUCCCUUGAGAGCCUUAGAGACUGCAUCUCACCAUGUUGCUCAGGCUGUUCUCGAACUCCUGGGCUCAAGCAAUCCUCCUACCUCAGCCUCUCAAAGUGUUGGGAUUAUAGAUGUGAGCCACUGUACCCGGCCCUGGUUGCAUUCUUCAUUAUUAGGAACAUAAGAGUCUAGCCCUGUCGCCCAGGCUGGAGUGCCAUGGUUUGAACUCUACUCACCGCAACCUCCACCUCCCAGGUUCAAAUGAUUCUCCUGCCUCAGCCUCCUGAAUAUCUGGGAUUACAGUAAUUAGCAAGAAACUUCUACAAAAGUUACAAUGCCAAUUACUGGAAACGCGCAUAUCAGGAGUUCCAUGGAGGACCAUUUCCAAGCAGUAGACAUCAUGCAUCAAUCUGCUUUUUGAAAUCCAGACUGAUUUUCCAAAUCAUUUUUAAAUAAGAGGCCUCAAGCCGUAUGUAAGAAACAAGAAAAUUUGUGCCUUAAGAGCAACUAUCAACUUAAAUCAAAGAGGGGUAAGAGGUAAGCUCAGGGGAUAGAGAAGAUUAACCUAACAACAAAUAGCCUUUGCUUACUUCUGAGAUACCUAGCAAAUGCUGCCUUUUUGAAUUUUGUGCAAUUAGUUUAGUACUUCAAUUACCUAGAUAUUUUUAAGUUAAACAAGCUCUUGAGUGAUUUUUUCAUCAAUUUACAUUGAGUUAUAACAAAUGUAGGAAUAUUUGUAUUUAAAAUGCACAAGAAAAUGCAAAACAUAUCUCUAAUUUGACCACUAAAAGGCCAGUUUCUGAUGAUAACUUUUUGCCAUAUCUUAUUAACUGUAAUGUAUCUUUAAGGAUGACACAUGGAAUAGUUCCAAUGUAUAACAGAAAGGAAAUCUGAUAUUAUACUUAAGUGCAUUCUGUACUCUGUGGGGAAAGAUGCAGAAUAUAUUACAAAGAACAAUGAAGACAUGUUUCAAAAGUAAGCAUUAAUUUAUUCAUUCAUUCAUUUAUUCCCUCACACUCUUAUUCAACAAACAUUUAUUGAAAAUCCUCCCAUGCGCAAGGUGGGUGUUCUAUCUAAAUUCUAUGAAGAACAAGACAGACAAGGUCCGUCUUCUCACAGAGCUUACAUUUUAGUGAGGUAAAGUUGUCAAUAAGUAUGCAAAUUAAAAAAAUGACAGGCUCAACUAAUGCCUCCAAAAGCAACUAUUUUUAAAGCAAAAUCUGAUUGUGUUCAAGUCUAGCAAAGAGUCACAAAAAUAUAUUUUUAGAAAUGAAGAUUGUUGACAUGGUAAGGUUAUUCAUUCUUUCUAUUUUUAUAAAUAAAUCAAUUAACCCUAUUUUAUUUUAAAAAGUCAUGCAAGGUCAAAAACGUUGGGAUGAUUGGUAUUAAACUCUGGUGGAAGAAGCUCCCUGAAUGCCUCCCUGACAUCAGUCAUACAGGUCAGGAAGCAAACACCUUUCCUCUUGUUUCCUAACUGCCCUUUUUACCCAUUUCAUAGCACACACUUACUCCGGUCACCAAACUGGUUACCAUCCUCCUGUGUUCUGUUUUUGUAAGAGGGCAUUUAUUUGGCCCUAGUUACCCAAGAAAAGGCAAUUAGUCUUGACAACUGCUGCAAAGAGAAAAGACGAGAUGAUGGAAACAUUCAACACUUAAAAAUCCUUAGAUUUCAAGCAUUGGGGUUUCUGCCCCUAUAGAUUUCUGGGAGUUUGGGACAAUUAAAAUAUAUCUUUUAUUUUUUUAAAAAAAUAUAUAUAAAUGAAUGCUAAAACAACUCUUAAAAGGAAAUUGCUUUAUAUAGUCUGGCUAUGAUCAGCAAAACUGGUAUUCAUAUUUACAUUUGUUUAUUAUAUCAGUGAGGUUUGAGAAUCAUUUAAAAGAAUUGUGUUCUAAUUCAACCUAAAUUCCCUUCCUGUUAAUCUGAGCCAAAUGUCCCAAACACAGACAUGGCAGUUUUUAAAUCUCUGAAAACUAUUUAAAAACUAAUAUUAAAAAUAUAGUUUUAAAAUAUAUUGCAUAUACCUGUAUACUUAGGUAUGAAGAAAUUUCCUCUUCCUUCAUGGUAAUUAGCAAGAAACUUCUAUAAAAGUUACAAUGCCAAUUAUUAGAAACAUGCAUAUCAGGUGUCCCACGUAGGACUAUUUCCAAGCAGUAGAGAUUAUGCAUCAAUCUGCUUUUUGAAAUCCAGACUGAUUUUCCAAAACACUUUUAAAUAAGAGGCCUCAAGCCAUAUAUAAGAAACAAGAAAAGUUGUGUAUAUUUGUAUACAGGUAUAUACGAGUGCCCGUAUAUGCAAGCUGAGGUGGAGAAAUUGAAGACACAGAUUAUGUAAGCCAUUAACUCUUUAGGGGAGCAAGCUCUGAUGUUCCCACUUGAAGACGGGAGAGGGGAGUCCUCUCAUGCUUGCGUCUCACUGUAACUUUUAUGCUUUUGUCUGUGGGUGUGUUUGUUCAGUGCUUAGACUGAACAACAGUGACCUCUUUGAAACAAGAGGAUAUACAGUUCACGUGCCACAUAAUGACUUUCAGUCAAUGACAGACUGCAUAUAUAAAAAGCACAUUCUAAUAGGACCUUUGAUAAUCGUUUUGUCUUCUUGACUAUCAUCUUCUCUAGGAGAAAGUCUUCCCUGAUACUCUGCCCCCUGCCUCCACACAUACACAUACACAAACACUCAGAUAUAUCUCUACCACACAUACUCCUGGCUAGGCUAAGUGCACCCUUUUCUUUUUCUUUUUCUUUUUCUUUUUCUUUUUCUGAGACAAGGCCUUGCUCUGUUGCCUAGUCUGGAGUGAAGUGGCCUGAUCAUAGCUUACUGCAGCCUCCAACUUCUGGGCUCAGGCGAUCCUCCCACCUCAAUUUCCCAAGUAAUUGGGACUACAGGCAUGCACAAACAUGGCUGGCUAAUUAUUUUUAUUAUUAUUAUAAGUAGAGAUGGGGUCUCACUAUGGUGCCCAGGUCGAUCUCAAAGUCCUGGGCUCAAGCAACCCUCAUGCCUUGGCCUCUCAAAGUGCUAGGAUUACAGGCAUGAGCUAUCAUGUCCAGCCUAGCUACCCCUUUUCUAUACUUUCCUAGCAUCAUGUGUGGGUCUUUCUCAUACUAUCUACAGCACACUGUGAUUGUGUAUUUACCCAUAUUUCUCCCAAAUGACUAUAAACACCUCAAGGGAAAGGAUUAUAGCUUAUUCAUAUUUGAAUCCUUAGUAUUUAUGACAAUGCUUGGCUCAUAAUAAGCUCUCAAGAGAUAUUCAUUCCAUUGAAUUGAAAUGACUUCCACUUGGGUUUCACAGUAGAAUACUCAUUACUCAUCAGACUUACUCAGGGGACAAGUCUCUGGCCUCAUUUUCAUUUGCAUCUUGGCCAUGAUUUUGCCUACUGUCAAUCACCAUGAAGUACAGAAAAGCAAACUGAGCUAUGGUGAGCCAAAUUAACUGGACCUAAGAUGACCUCAUCAGCAAAGCGCCCUAAGCAAUCAAGCAAUCGGGUCAGCUAGUUGCAGCCUAUAGUUAUCGUGGAAAACUGGUUGCUACUUUGAUCUCAGCUCACCUUGCCAAAUACUCCUUUUGUUUGAAAGAUAGUCAUAACAAGUACAAAACAACACUGAGUGAAUAUUUUUAAUAUUAUAAGCACCUAGAUAAAUUUAAUUUCUAUUUCCAUUAAUGAUCUGAAUAACCUAAAUUCUUCUAAUACCUAUAUUUGUCCAAUUUUAAGGUAUUCUGACUUAGGCAGAAAUUGGGCAAUUAUCUGAUUAAUUCAGGCCAAUAUUUUUAACACUGGAUUUCUGCAUCACAAGAAUUGUUAAUUUAUUCUUAUAUCCUCAUUCCUGGUACACAAUGGGUGCUCAGAAGUAGCUAGGAUUUACUGAGAGCUUACUAUAUGCUAAACUGUACAACAAUGUGUUAUCUUACAUUAAGUCUCACAAAAAUUAAAACUCUCAAAAAACUUCGCACUAAUUGUUUGAGAUAGAUGAGAUUACAAUCUGAGUCUUAAGAAGGUUAAGUAACCCACCCAAGGUCGAAUUAAGAACUUGAGCUAUCUUUUUAAUCACUACUCUAUAUAGACAUUUGUUGAAUAAAUGGUCAGAUGCAUUUUGAUCAAGCCUAUGCUUAUUUGAAAUAUCACAUGCUUUUUUGAACUUUAUAGAUAUAUAUUAACCAUUUGGAAAAAUGUAAGAACAAAAUCUCAUGGAAAAUGUAAAUUUCAAUCUUGCAAACUAAACAUUCGAUUUAUACACUUUCAGGAUUUACUCUGUUGUGUGAAUAUGCGUACUUUAGAAUAAAACUGGUAUCAUACUAUACAAUGAAUAUCAAGUUUUAAUUCAAUAAUGUUUAAUGAAUAAUUCCCUAUGUCAUUAAUAAUCCUCUUAUGAGUAUUAUUUUAAAAGAUACAUUAUUUUACUUCAAGAAAAUUUUAUGAUUUGUAUAAUAGAACUAUAGCUUUUGGACAUUUUGGCUACUUAUAACUUUUAGUGCUUUGAUAAUAUCAUUACAAACAUCAUUACACAUAUAUUUUAUAAUUUUUAAGAAACAAAUAUGUUCUUAAAUUUGUUUUUUAAGGAAAAUUAUUAUUGGUUGAAUGAUUACAUCAAAGGGAAAUGGAUUAUUUUCAUAUGUAAUUUCAUGCUACCUCCAACAAAGGUUUUAUCCUGAUUAUAUUGUAGACCUGAAUUCAUUUAAAUUUAUGCUGAUUUUUUUAACUUUAGAGACAUAUUGCUCAUAUUCAAGUACAUUUUAAUUCAUGUUAUAAGUAUAUGACAACAUAAACAUGUUUUGACAUCCUCUACUGAAUAUAUUCUUUUUACACCACUAAGCAUUUUUAAAAUUUAGUUUUUUAUAAAAAGGACAGAUAGGCAGGCAGGCAGAGAGAGACAGAGACAGAGAUGACAAGCAUAAACAAGGAAUUGUAGCUGUGGUCUAACAGAUUACACAUUUUUAAGCACCUAAAUUUAGAAAAUUAGGUGGUAUACUUUAUUAUUGAUCAUUUGGGGUCAAACUAGCUAAUCUGGCAACUUAAUUUUCCUAGGGAUUUAUUUGAUGUAAAAAUAUGGUCUGAUCGUUCUUCAGUGGUUCUUUCCUUUUAGGAGUCUUGCUCAUGAGAACCUGUCUUAAAACUUUUACUGCUUGAAAUAUGUAGAAAGUCCAAGGGUAAAGGAGAGUGGAAUUUGUUGUUGUUUACUAUGAAGAAUUAUCAUUGAGUCAGUUCACCUUUGGCUGGCAUCUGGGGAAAGUUUGCCUGCACGACAUGAUUAACAGCUAAAAUAUUCUUACGGCCUUUAUCUCAGCAGUCUAGAAGGUUCGAAUGAAAAGAACAUUAUCCAUAGAGGAAGUAGGAGGUAAACAUUCCUAACAAAAAUGGACACUCAAUAAAUACAUGUUAAAUAAAAGAAUAAACAAAUACGUUCAAGUCGAUUCUAGUUGUGCAGUGGUAACCCUUGUCGUAUUGGAACAGUAAUGCACAUGGACCAUGAGUCCUUGUAUUCUUCUUGAGCCAGCUUGGUGAACUUGGUCAAACCACUGACACUCAAUUGCUUCACUGGUAAAACAAAGCCAAUAGCAUCCGCUAUACUUAUCCAUUAGAUUUUUUAUCCAUUAGAUUUUUUAAUAUAUAUGAAUACAAUUUAUGAAAGUACUGUAUACUAUGUACUUAGUAUAUACUUAAUUAGUAUGAAAAUAAAGUAAAAAUACCAUAGAAAAUUAGAGGUUUAUGAAUUGCUAAUACAUGAGAUAUUUACUAGGGUGUAUAUUUACUAUGUCUUCUAAAAGUAUAAGUUUGGUAAGCAGAAAUCUCUUAGGGUUUAGCAUUUCUUUAACUGAUAGCAAAAAUUUUGAAUGUUAACUAUUUAAGUGUAUCUACAGUGACUUUCCUUUUCUUCAUGAUAUUGCCUUGUUUAUCCCUUUGAUUUAUCCUCAUGUCCCACUGAAGCAAGCUAUGCACCUUAAUGCCAUCUUGUUUAUGGGGACUAAUAAAAGAAAAUUGUCUGCAAUGGGAGAUCUGCUUUAUUUACAUGCAAAUUAAAACUAUAUUCCUUCGGUUACAGGCCAAAGAUUAUUAAUGCAUGAUGUGUAACAAUUUCAGGCAAAGGUAAAAAUGCUGUUCCUUCCUAUAAUCUAAUGCAACUGAUUUCAUUUUUGUAAAAUGGUGCAACAAAUUGAGCCAUGGCAUUUAUAGUAUCUUACGUGUUUUAUGCUGCUUUUUAAAAUUUAUAUAAGAAAUGGAAAAGAAAACACUAAAUUGCUAGACUAGUAAAGCAAUUGACUGGCUUGAAAUUUCAGGAGGCAAGGAAUAUCUGUUUUACCAUUCCAUAUUAUGACUGGAAAAAUAUAAUUCUUCUGCCCACUUUAUUGUUUCUAGAAAAAGAGUUAGUAAUAUUUAUCUUGAAAGAACAUUCUAAGAACUAAUACAAUAACUUGCCAAAUGGAUUAAAGUUUUGGAGAAGAACGGGGAUCCUGGUCAUUUUCUGGAGUCAGAUACAGUCAGUUUCCUUCUUUUGAAACUCACACAGGCAAUCAUCAGAUAUUAAGAAAGGGAUCAAGAAAUCGAGGAGGCAAAAGAACAGAAGAAGUAAAUACCUAUAGCUUGCCCAGAAGCCUAGGAAGAGAGAGAAUGCCGAAAGACUUCUAAUGUAUGGAGUUUAAACAUCAGAUGGUGAUUGAUUGCUAUUAAUUUAUGUCAGCAAAGGAGGAGAAGAAAUACGUAAAACUGCCUCUGAAGAAUUUACAUUAAACACCAAAAGAAUCUGACUCUGAAAAUGAAGAAACAAGGAAUAUUGUUUGUUUUGGGAAUCAAAAAAAAAAAAAACUUCCCAUUUGAGUACACAAUUUCCUAAACAAGAUACAUGAUAAUUCCAUACACUAUGCUUUCCGAAGAAACUUUGUAAAACGUAUUUUCAUUAUUCAAAACUUGAAAACACAGAAACAAUAUGAUGCAAAAAAUUAUCUUUAGCAUUAUUCCACUAAGAUAAUUCAUUUUAACAUCCAUAUAUUCAUUAUUAUGUAAAAUACCUAUCAGUAUGUGGGUAUAUCUUUGUGUGUAUAUUUUAACAAAACAAAAUUCAAUAAAAAUUGAAAUACAGAAAUGACAAAAACACACAAAAAAUAUAAAUUAUUUCCAUUGUAGCAUAUAUUACCUUUUUCACCUAACAUUAUACUGUAGGAAUAUAUUCUUUCAUCAUUCAAUGCUUUUGAAAAUAUAAUAAUAUUCCAUUUUAAGGACAUGCUAUAAUUUAGUUCAUUAGUUUUUAAACUUUUAGAUUAUCUCAUUUUGUCAUCAUUUAAAAAAAGUGUUCCUGGAUGUCCUUUUGCAUAGACUUUUGAAUGUAUUUCUGACUAUUUUCUUAACCUGUCCUGUACUUCUGCAAGUAGAACUGCUUGAGCAGAGAUUAGGAGCAAUUUUAAGGUUUUUCAAAAAUCUUGACAAACUAUUCUGCAGGAAAAAUGUAUCUUGUUACCAUCAGCAUUUUUAAGUAACUAGUGACUAAUUGUAAAAAUAAUUGUGUUUCCUUGUAUUUAAGCCUUGCGCUAUAGAUUUUAAAAAUUUGUCCUUUUUUUUUUUUCAUUUGUAAAAAAAAGCCAUCUAAAAGACCUUAGAACCUGGUAUCAGCUGAAGCUUACUAAACCAUAUCAAGAAGAUCAUGUCAUUCUCAAGAAAAGCAUGUUUCAAAUAAAAAGGAAAUGUCAGCCCUGAGCGUUUUUAUUAACCAUCUCCCCAUCUGACUUCAGAGACAGCUUUAGCUGACCACUUCCUCUCUCGGGUUUAUUUGUAUUAGAAAUAAGUGGAUUCAUUAACUGUGCCACUUGGUGGUCAGGCCAGGCCUGCCAGUGUCCAAUAACAGGUAAUGGUUGUAUUUUUCACGGGGUGACUGAUGUUUACUUUGUUGAUGGCCCCAGGAGCUCAUGUAAUCUGAGAUAGGUCUUUGUUUACUUCUUGUUUUACUGAUAUGCUGACCCAUUUGAAACUAGCGAGAAAGAAAAAUAAACAUUCUGGAAUAUGGUACCUGAAGUCACUCUUCCUUAGUGGCUUUAUUGUAACCUCUUCAAAGGCUUUUGUUAACCCACUCUUUUCCCAGCAAAAAACCCUGAUCUGGUCUCUUUUCCAAUUAAACCAAAAGCAAUAUCACACCAAAUAAGCAAACAGAAAAUAUUGAAAUUACCACUUAAAGAGAGUUUUAUCUGGGGUUUAAUUGUGUGUGUACUCAAGCGUUUAGUGUAGGUCAUUUGCUAAUGACAUCUAGUAAUUUUUAAAAACUGGAUAAAACUGAUACUGAGCCUGUCUACAGCAAUUUAACUAUUUUGGGGGAGUAUAAAGUUAGAUUUGUCUAUACUGACUUGUUUGCUCCAUUUUAAAAACUGUGUUGGAAUGAUUUAUUAUGGAUGAUCCAAAAUAAACGUGAAGUGAGGAAACUA